rnacentral:rRNA from 1 species
GACGAACGCUGGCGGCGUGCUUAACACAUGCAAGUCGAACGAUGAACCGGAGCUUGCUCUGGGGAUUAGUGGCGAACGGGUGAGUAACACGUGGGCAACCUGCCCCAGACACCGGGAUAACCAUUGGAAACGAUGGCUAAUACCGGAUACGACCACUUCGGGCAUCCGAUGGUGGUGGAAAGGAUUCUGGUCUGGGAUGGGCCCGCGGCCUAUCAGCUUGUUGGUGGGGUAAUGGCCUACUAAGGCGACGACGGGUAGCCGGCCUGGGAGGGGGACCGGCCACACUGGGACUGAGACGCGGCCCAGACUCCUACGGGAGGCAGCAGUGGGGAAUAUUGUGCAAUGGGCGAAAGCCUGACGCAGCGACGCCGCGUGAGGGACGAAGGUCUUCGGAUUGUAAACCUCUUUCAGCAGGGAUGAAGCGAAAGUGACAGUACCUGCAGAAGAAGCACCGGCUAACUACGUGCCAGCAGCCGCCGUAAGAC